UACAGAGGGGGCAAGCGUUGUUCGGAAUUACUGGGCGUAAAGGGCGCGUAGGCGGCCUGUUAAGUCAGACGUGAAAUCCCUCGGCUCAACCGGGGAACUGCGUCUGAUACUGGCGGGCUUGAAUUCGGGAGAGGGAUGUGGAAUUCCAGGUGUAGCGGUGAAAUGCGUAGAUAUCUGGAGGAACACCGGUGGCGAAGGCGGCAUCCUGGACCGACACUGACACUGAGGAGCGAAAGCCAGGGGAGCAAACGGG
rnacentral:rRNA from 1 species